CCUCUGUUGCAGCUGCAGCCGAGUACAGAGCCCAUUUAUUCCCAUCAUUUGGAGCUCCCCGUAAUGUUUUUUCCUAUUGCCAUUCAACUGAUAUUCUUUAAAAUAAGAUUUACCAAACAAGUCAAGCUUCACAGGGCUUUGGAAUACAUAUCUUGAAUGUCUGAUGACUUUUAAACCUCAGAUACAACAUUAGGAGCAAACUAUCAAAGACAUCAACUGUCUGACUUCACUCAGCCUCCACCAUUCUGAAGGUGGCUUCAUGGGGGAGGGAAUGAGGAGUGGAGAGACUCUUUCACUCUACUCACCCCACCCACACAGCAGCAGAGAGCUGGACAAUCUUAGGAAGAAGGGGAACUCAGAGUUGGAUCCUUGACCUCAACUCCUGUGUCCUAAGCACCAGGACAGUUAUCUACACAGUUUUAUCCUUGGGACUGGAACAUUUGCUGAAUGUCUGGUGAUGAUGGUGCUGAGCAGGCCACCCAGAAGGACAGGAUUCUUUCCCAGAAGGAAAAGCAGAUGCCUGUCCUCUUAGAAGUCUGCACACUCAGAGACAUCCCUUUUGCCCUUCUGCAGAAUACCCUGUACCUUCUUACUGAGACUGCCUGCCCACUGCACUCCCCAGGAUGCUGAGCUUUACUGGACCCUUCAGGUAGAGCCUGUUUGUAAAUGAAGGCAGAAUGAGAGGGGAAGCCUAACCUGCCCACUGAAGGCCACUGCACCUGCCUCUGUGUCAGCAUUUUGUAAACCGUUGCCCAGCUCAGAUGGACUCCUGUCCCCUGCUUGUGCACUGGCCCUGCGCAUCUAGAACUUGGAUGACCUGCAUUUGGGAACGGAGAUUAUAGUUCUCCCAGUGCACUUCCUGAUGCUCAGCUGCUGCUGCAGAAGUGGACCAUGACAUCAGAGGGUCUGGGUGGGGUGAGCUUGUAGCCUUGGCUGUCUGUGAGGUUAGAAUCCUACCCAUGAGCCUCUGCAUGAGGAAUGGCUCAGGCCACCAGGGCAGACCUUUCCCCCUCACCUCUGCUGCCCCCUGUGAUCUUUCCUGCCAGUGAGAUUGACAGGAGAGUUUCUAUGAAUAAGUGUGGCAUAAAACUUCUGGAUAGUGUUGGCCGUCAGAACUAUUUUUCAUGAUUUUUAUUAAGAGGGCUAGUUAUUUCACAGUAGUUGUUAGGGUUUUAUGAAGUACUCUUUAAAAAUUAUGUUUUUAAUGCCUUAGUUCACUCUUUGGAGCAAAGUUGUAGAUUUACCCAUAAUUGUCAGAAAGUUCUGUCUGGCUUCGCCGUGAUACCUUGGCCAUGUUUUCUAACCUCUUUGAGGCUUAGGACCUUCAUUAGUGAAAUGAAGCUAUUGGAUCAAAACGGCACAGUCUACCUUAGGUAUCCUUUUUUGGCCCACAGACUGCUAUAGUAAUACAUAAUCUCACUAACCCCCUCAGGUUUUUGAAAAUCAUCUCAUUAUCUUAGGUGUUUCAGAAUAAAUAAUUAUACAUUUUAUAUGCUAAGUAGUAUAACCAAAAAUUCUGGUUUCCUCAAGAUAGCCCUGCAUUUUAUAUAUUAUUCUGGCGGUUAUUUGCAGCACCUUUCACUCUCAAACUAUUCUGAUUUAAAUGAAAAUUACAUGGUUACCUUACUUACUUGGUUGUUUAAAUGCAAUCUUAACAACAGUUAUUUAAAGACACAUUUUAACUUUUCCUAAUUUAACAAGUAAUAUGUGCUAUGCAAUUUUUAAAAAUUAAAUAUAUAACUAAAAGCCUAAUUGAGAAACCAGAAAUAUAAAAUAAUAGCUAUCAUGUUUAGCUGGGGACUAAAUGUACAUUAAGUGUACAUGCAGAUAUCAACUUAGCUUCUUGAAACAUCAAAAAACUGCUUAUUUUAUAAGACUGAAUUUCUUGUAUUUUGCUCUUAAAAACAUGAAGUGUUUUAUUUACAUAAUCAUGUUUUUGUUGCUAAAAAAUUAGCUCAAUGAAAGGAUUUAUGUUGUUAUUUGCCAGCUUUUGUUCUCAAAUAAAUCAUUUUCUUAUGGAUAAUUUUAUUCCACUAAA